rnacentral:rRNA from 1 species
GGGUACGACCAUAUCAGCACUAACGCACCGGAUCCCGUCAGAACUCCGAAGUUAAGCGUGCUCACGCGAGAGUAGUACUAAGAUGGGUGAACCCCUGGGACGUCCUCGUGUUGCACCCC